GAUCUGUGGUUCCUCCAGCCACUGCAUUUGCAAGUCUCUCUCUCCAAUUUAUUGGCCUAUGCAUGCGGGUUCACUUUCCUGAAUUCAGCUGGACUGCCUAGACACUUUGUCUAGCCCUGCCAACCUUGGGCAUACAUAUGCCUUCUCCAAAGACAGAUAACAGAUCCUCAUAAAAUCUUCCUGCAGACCACAAUUCCAGAGAAGAUUUCAUCAUCGGACGCUAAAACAGAUCCAGAACAUAAUUAGCUGAGGGUUAUUUUACCAACAUGCUUAUCAUGCAGCUUUGAACACCCCUCUGCUCUACCUCCCAAGUGAAUUACUAGCUAUGCUGUGGUGUAUGAGCCCUAUGACAGCUUCCCUUUCUGACUGGAA
rnacentral:lncRNA from 1 species